UACGGGGGGCGCAAGCGUUGUUCGGAUUUACUGGGCGUAAAGGGCGCGUAGGCGGCCUCUGCAAGUCAGUUGUGAAAUCUCCGGGCUUAACUCGGAAAGGUCAACUGAUACUGCAGGGCUAGAGUGCGGAAGGGGCAACUGGAAUUCUCGGUGUAGCGGUGAAAUGCGUAGAUAUCGAGAGGAACACCUGCGGCGAAGGCGGGUUGCUGGGCCGACACUGACGCUGAAGCGCGAAAGCCAGGGGAGCGAACGGG
rnacentral:rRNA from 1 species